CCACUCCUUGAUGAUGAACAAAUACGUGCUUGUGCUGCUGGCACUAGUCCUGCUCUCCGGAAUGACCAUGAUCUGUGAAGGAAAUACGGCGUGGAGGUCAUACUAUAAUCCAUCAUCUCGAUCAAGAUUCCGGAAUUUCAGAUUCAAUCGAUUUAGACAGUUCAGUAGAUUUGGACCUCGAUCCCGAUCUACAGGCGGAUGGGCUAGUCAGUUUUCAAAGCGACGUUGACCAAAAUUAGGUCAUUUCCGAUCGAAGACAAUGUCUUUUUAAUUGUUAUCCAUUGUUUUUUUUUUAUAUUUGUAAUAAAACGAUUUUCCCCAUA